rnacentral:rRNA from 1 species
GACGAACGCUGGCGGCGUGCUUAACACAUGCAAGUCGAACGGUGAAGCGCCUUCCUUUUUGGGUGGUGUGGAUGAGUGGCGAACGGGUGAGUAACACUUGCGUAACCUGCCCCCUUCUUCUGGAUAACCGCAUGAAAGUUUGUCUAAUACGGGAUAUUCUGGGUCUUUGGCAUGGUUGGUCUGUGUAAGAUGUUGGUUCGGGGGGGGAUGGGCUGGCGGCCUAUAAGGUGGUUGGGGUGGUGAGGGGCUACCAAGGCGGUGACGUGUGGAAGGCCUGAGAGGGUGGACGGUCAGACUGGGACUGAGGCACGGCUGGGACUCCGAUGCGGGGCAGCAGUCGGGAGUAGUGAACAAUGGGGGAAAGCCUGAUGCAGCGGCGACGCGGGAGGGAUGGAGGCCCUCGGGUUGUGACCGUCUUUCGCCAGUGAAGCAGGUCUGCCUCGUAUGUGGGUGGGUUGACGGUAGCUGGAAAAGAAGCGCCGGCUAACUACGUG